ACAGAGGUGGCAAGCGUUGUUCGGAAUUACUGGGCGUAAAGGGCGCGUAGGCGGCCAACUCAGUCGGACGUGAAAUCCCCGGGCUCAACUCGGGAACUGCGUCCGAUACUGGUUGGCUUGAGUUCGGGAGAGGAAUGUGGAAUUCCAGGUGUAGCGGUGAAAUGCGUAGAUAUCUGGAGGAACACCGGUGGCGAAGGCGGCAUUCUGGACCGAAACUGACGCUGAGGCGCGAAAGCCAGGGGAGCAAACGGGA
rnacentral:rRNA from 1 species